CUUAACACAUGCAAGUCGAGCGGGCCCUUCGGGGUCAGCGGCAGACGGGUGAGUAACGCGUGGGAACGUGCCCUUCGGUUCGGAAUAACCCUGGGAAACUAGGGCUAAUACCGGAUACGCCCCUUGGGGGAAAGGUUUACUGCCGAAGGAUCGGCCCGCGUCCGAUUAGCUAGUUGGUGAGGUAACGGCUCACCAAGGCGACGAUCAGUAGCUGGUCUGAGAGGAUGAUCAGCCACACUGGGACUGAGACACGGCCCAGACUCCUACGGGAGGCAGCAGAAGGG
rnacentral:rRNA from 1 species